UGAAGCAGCCAAAGCUCAAAUUUGAAAGCUCCUAACAAGGCGCAUUGUAAUUUGAAGAUGGUAUUCCGAGUUAGUCCUUUACCUCAGUUCCUUGGAACAGGACGCCAUAGAGGGUGAGAGCCCCGUGUGGUAUUGGUAGCUUUCUCAUGUGGUUUACCUUCGAAGAGUCGAGUUGUUUGGGAAUGCAGCUCUAAGUGGGUGGUAAAUUCCAUCUAAAGCUAAAUAUUGGCGAGAGACCGAUAGCGAACAAGUACUGUGAAGGAAAGAUGAAAAGAACUUUGAAAAGAGAGUGAAAAAGUACGUGAAAUUGUUGAAAGGGAAGGGAAUUGGACUAGACUUGGAUUUCUGUUAUCAGCAGUCUUUCGGGGCUGUGCACUAGCAGUUUUCUAGGCCAGGAUCUGUUUGGAGGCCAGGAUAAAACCCAAAGAAUGUGGCUCUUCGGAGUGUUAUAGCUUUGGUUGAAUACUGGCAUUCUGGACAGAGGACCGCGCUUCGUGCUAGGAUCCUGGCGUAAUAGUCCUAUUCCACCCGUCUUGAAACACGGACCAAGGAGUCUAACGUCUAUGCGAGUGUUUGGGUGUAA
rnacentral:rRNA from 1 species